ensembl:lncRNA
CUUGAAACGUUUCUGACCAUCAGUUAUUUGUCAAAUGUAUCAUAUUCUUGUUAUAGGAAUCAUGUCCAAAUUAUACCCUGCAAGAGCGGGAAAAUUCGGACCACAUACUUGAUAAGAUAAAAUAUGAUUUAUGAAUGGGUGGGACAAACAAUGCAACACCCCGAGAAAAGACAAUAUCUAAUUGGUCAAGACAACAUUUGAGGUGUGGCCAAAAUGCCAGUUUAAAUACUCAGGACACCAUCAAAUUUUGCUUUUAGCCUUUGCUUUUAGCUUUUGCUUUUUAGCCUUUUGCUUUUGGCUUUUAGCCUUUGCUUUUUAGCUUUUAGCCUCUGUUUUUUAGCUUUUAGCUUUUGCUAUCAGUCAUGCCGGCUUUUAGCUUUGCUUGUAGUUUUAGCUUUUAGUCAUGCUUUGUCAUCACUUUUAGCGUUCUUCGAGCGCCGUUCCAGCGUGCUUCGGCCUGCACACCUGCUGCUACUUAGCCACGAUGAGAAGAAACACCACCUAGUCUCGUCAAACUUUACUUCUGUCCUUUUACUUUAGUUUCUUUUCUUUUCCGUUUGAGAGUUUCGUGUUCUGAGUUAAGUUUUGUAACGCCGUGUCUCCGAGUCUGACCUCGCGUGCCCGUCUGAAACUUCAACCAGCCCACAACUCCGCAUCUUCAGCCAACGCCCAACCACGGGCUUCCCAAGACGUCACUUCAACGACUACUGAACUUCUAGCCAAUCAGCAACUUCGGGAAACCCCCUUUUCAGCGACAACAAAGGGAACCCCGUUACACAGGCAUCACAAGAACGGACAUCCUGCAAAGAUCCCUCUCAACAUGCAAUAAGUGGGGGAAAAAAAACUAAGGAUAACAACAAAAGCCUCCAGCAAAGAUGCACAGACUGCAGAAGUCUUUGUGUGUCCACUAUUAGAAAAGUAAGAAUGGUGUUCGUGAAAGGACAACAAAUAAGAAACCACUGCGGGCAAAAAAAUUGCUGCAUGUCUCAUGUGUUACCCAAACCAUCUGGAUGUUCAGCAAAGCUUAUGGGAAAAUGUUCCCCAACACCAAAACCUCAUCUCAACUGAAAACUAUGGUGAAUGAAGCAUCAUAAUUUAAUCCUGCUUUGCUGCUUCAGGGUCUGGACACUUUGCAAUCAAUGAAUUCAAAUGUGCAUCAGGAUAUUCAUGACUUCAAGCUUUAGAGAGGCUUGGUGAUGCAAUAAGAUAAUGACCCAAAGCACACAAAGAAAUCAAAUAAAGUAUGGCAGAAAAAUACGAAAAUGUGUGUUUUCCUGAGUACCAACCUUAAGUCAAAUGAGAUGCAUAACCUAAAGAGGGCUGUGCCAUCAAGACAACCCUGAAAUAUUGAUAAACUGAAGGUUUGUGGGGAGGGAGCUUGCUACAGGAAAUGUUUAGUGGAGGUAUUGCUGCAAAAGGAGAGUCUACAGGUUACUAAAUUCACUUACUUUCCUCAAAUGAUUACUCAGUAUAUGCAACAAAGAUGUAAAAAUUCCAGACAUUUUCAAAGUGUUAACAAACCUUAUUAUGUAUCUAAUGUAUGUAUUAGGUGUGUCAUUUUCACUGCUGGCUGCCAAUAUUCCUCUUUUGUCAUAAAGUUUAAUGAUCAUACCAAACCUGUUACAACUACAACAACAACAACAACAACAAAAGAGCAAGCUGGGACACCAGAGGCUGGAUUGACUAAGAAAGACAUAAGUACAUUUCUUGAAAAUGUUCAAAGAUUUUCUUAAGAACAUCUUUGGUUUUCUUAAGAAGAAAAUGACAGGCCUCAAGAAUACCACACCAACCACAAGCAAGCUUUGUCAUUCAUAAAAUAAUGACCUAAAAACCACUAACAAACGGUUGCAUUACAUAACGUAACAUUUUAUGUGAAAUGGGACAAAACAAGAAUAGCACUCUCUAUUCACUGCAGUACAGCUACUGUAAAUCUAAUUAUUUUGAUAAUAUUUCAGAUUACCACUUAUUAUUGCGGAAAACCACUGUCUUAUUCCGUUUUGUAAUAUAUUAGAUUCUGAACUCGUUUAACAGUUUUGAAGAGAGUAUGUAAAUGUGCAAACUUGUCAGACUUGUGUUGCUAUUUUGUUAUUUUUCUGUCCCCAUGUGCUCCCCGUGACCCAGUUUCUCCUUUGUUUGAUUGUGUUCAUUUGAUUCAGGUGUGUCUUGUCAACUACCCUCGUUUCGUCCUGUAUUUACAGUGUUGUUUGCCCUAUGUUUACUGUCUGGUGUUGGUUGUCAGGGUGUUACGUGUGUCUCCUGUCUACCCUGUGUUGCCCAUUGGUUUAUCUAUUAAAGAUUAUUAUUCCUGCGACUCUUAUGUCUCCGCAUUCCUUGCUCCAACACAGUACACACCGUGACAAAACCGGCCUGUAGAGCUUUGCCAGUGGUUAUGUCUGGGUGCGAAAAUAAUGCGUGCAAUAUUUGUUGAAUGCUUUUGGUCAUAAAUGAUUCACAGACUGCUGUGGUGCUCACUGUGUGACGUAAAAAAAAUAACUGUAAAUGCUUAUUUUUAUAUUUUAGAAGAUUCUUUUUAGUUUAAUUCUUCAUUCUUA